UGUGUUGCUUACCUACGAGAAGGAAUUCGAUCGUACCGUUUCCCCNUUUUCGCCCGAUGCCCCUCUGUGGGUGUGGGGUGGACGCCAGGCACGCUACGUGUUCCUCGCAUGCCUUGCCUUGUUGCGGGGUUGUUGAGGCCCGUGUAGCGGUUGCCCGCUCUCUAGGAUGCUGAACGUCAGGCAUGGGUGCGGGGUCUCGGCCUCUGCUCGCCCAAGCUACCCAUCUCGUCCCUUGACACGAACGACUGCCACGGUCGUCUUGAUCGCGUCGUAGACUACGUGCUCGACGGGGUUCAUGCGGACGUCGGCGUCGUCGAGGAAUGCUACCUGGUUGAUCCUGCCAGUAGUCAU
rnacentral:misc_RNA from 1 species